ACGGAGGGAGCUAGCGUUGUUCGGAAUUACUGGGCGUAAAGAGUACGUAGGCGGUGAUUCAAGUCAGAGGUGAAAGCCUGGAGCUCAACUCCAGAACUGCCUUUGAAACUAGAUCGCUAGAAUCAUGGAGAGGUUAGUGGAAUUCCGAGUGUAGAGGUGAAAUUCGUAGAUAUUCGGAAGAACACCAGUGGCGAAGGCGACUAACUGGACAUGUAUUGACGCUGAGGUACGAAAGCGUGGGGAGCAAACAGGAUUAGAUACCCUGGUAGUCCACGCCGUAAACGAUGAUAACUAGCUGUUCGGGCUCUCAGAGCCUGAGUGGCGCAGCUAACGCAUUAAGUUAUCCGCCUGGGGAGUACGGUCGCAAGAUUA
rnacentral:rRNA from 1 species